rnacentral:tRNA from 1 species
CGACGAGUGCCGAGUGGUUAGGCGAUGGACUGCUAUCCAUGUGCUCUGCACGCGUGGGUUCGAUCCCAUCCUCGUCGU